UGGCGGACGGGGGAGUAAUGUCUGGGAAACUGCCUGAUGGAGGGGGAUAACUACUGGAAACGGUAGCUAAUACCGCAUAACGUCGCAAGACCAAAGAGGAGGACCUUCGGGCCUCUUGCCAUCGGAUGUGCCCAGAUGGGAUUAGCUAGUAGGUGGGUAACGGCUCACCUAGGCGACGAUCCCUAGCUGGUCUGAGAGGAUGACCAGCCACACUGGAACUGAGACACGGUCCGG
rnacentral:rRNA from 1 species